rnacentral:rRNA from 1 species
CUUGCUAGCAAGUUAAGCCCGUUUUAUUUUGUACAAAUUGGGGGAUCAUGAAGAUUUUAUCAGUGAGUAUGUAGACUCGGAAUGGCAAAGAUAUAUCUUAAAUCAUCAGACAUAGAAUGAUAA